AGAGUUUGAUCCUGGCUCAGGACGAACGCUGGCGGCGUGCCUAAUACAUGCAAGUCGAACGAAACUUUCUUACACCGAAUGCUUGCAUUCACCGUAAGAAGUUGAGUGGCGGACGGGUGAGUAACACGUGGGUAACCUGCCUAAAAGAAGGGGAUAACACUUGGAAACAGGUGCUAAUACCGUAUAUCUCUAAGGAUCGCAUGAUCCUUAGAUGAAAGAUGGUUCUGCUAUCGCUUUUAGAUGGACCCGCGGCGUAUUAACUAGUUGGUGGGGUAACGGCCUACCAAGGUGAUGAUACGUAGCCGAACUGAGAGGUUGAUCGGCCACAUUGGGACUGAGACACGGCCCAAACUCCUACGGGAGGCAGCAGUAGGGAAUCUUCCACAAUGGACGCAAGUCUGAUGGAGCAACGCCGCGUGAGUGAAGAAGGUCUUCGGAUCGUAAAACUCUGUUGUUAGAGAAGAACACGAGUGAGAGUAACUGUUCAUUCGAUGACGGUAUCUAACCAGCAAGUCACGGCUAACUACGUGCCAGCAGCCGCGGUAAUACGUAGGUGGCAAGCGUUGUCCGGAUUUAUUGGGCGUAAAGGGAACGCAGGCGGUCUUUUAAGUCUGAUGUGAAAGCCUUCGGCUUAACCGGAGUAGUGCAUUGGAAACUGGAAGACUUGAGUGCAGAAGAGGAGAGUGGAACUCCAUGUGUAGCGGUGAAAUGUGUAGAUAUAUGGAAGAACACCAGUGGCGAAAGCGGCUCUCUGGUCUGUAACUGACGCUGAGGUUCGAAAGCGUGGGUAGCAAACAGGAUUAGAUACCCUGGUAGUCCACGCCGUAAACGAUGAAUGCUAGGUGUUGGAGGGUUUCCGCCCUUCAGUGCCGCAGCUAACGCAAUAAGCAUUCCGCCUGGGGAGUACGACCGCAAGGUUGAAACUCAAAGGAAUUGACGGGGGCCCGCACAAGCGGUGGAGCAUGUGGUUUAAUUCGAAGCAACGCGAAGAACCUUACCAGGUCUUGACAUCCUUUGACCACCUAAGAGAUUAGGCUUUCCCUUCGGGGACAAAGUGACAGGUGGUGCAUGGCUGUCGUCAGCUCGUGUCGUGAGAUGUUGGGUUAAGUCCCGCAACGAGCGCAACCCUUGUUGUCAGUUGCCAGCAUUAAGUUGGGCACUCUGGCGAGACUGCCGGUGACAAGCCGGAGGAAGGUGGGGACGACGUCAAGUCAUCAUGCCCCUUAUGACCUGGGCUACACACGUGCUACAAUGGACGGUACAACGAGUCGCAAGACCGCGAGGUUUAGCUAAUCUCUUAAAGCCGUUCUCAGUUCGGAUUGUAGGCUGCAACUCGCCUACAUGAAGUCGGAAUCGCUAGUAAUCGCGAAUCAGCAUGUCGCGGUGAAUACGUUCCCGGGCCUUGUACACACCGCCCGUCACACCAUGAGAGUUUGUAACACCCAAAGCCGGUGGGGUAACCGCAAGGAGCCAGCCGUCUAAGGUGGGACAGAUGAUUGGGGUGAAGUCGUAACAAGGUAACCA
rnacentral:rRNA from 2 species